CAGGAAACAAUAAUGUAAUUGAUUAGAGAGAGUCAUGAAUAUAUAAUAACUUUCUUGUUUAUUUGUUGUCUUUUCUUUGAGAAUUGUUAACGAGGGAAAAGCACCCUUCAAUUUCCCCUCCGACAGCCUCCCAGGCACAGAGGCCUUAUUCCCUUUACUUCACAUAGGGAAUGAUUCUUUGGAAAUAUUUCCAGACAGCAAUUCCUAAAUAGAGACAAGAUAGAUUUUUCUACUUUUGUAGAAAUUUACUUUUGUCAGCUGCAGUCGUUCUAGGCUGUGAUCAAGUCUGGAGAGUCGUUUAUUGAGGAGGAUCUUAUGCAAGCAACCAGUGUGUCGUCCCUGGGGAAGAGGCUGAAGAUCUGUUGGAGCAGCUGACGGUAGAAACGGAUGUCUGUCUUCUGGAUUUGGGUGAUAUUUCCUCGUUUCCUAGAAAACUUGAACCAUGGUUCCAAGGCUUGUCCCUCCCAAGUGAGCAGGCAGCGCUGGAGAUGAGAACGAUCACUCCCGCCAUUACCAGGGAGGUGUAGGCCACUGUUAUUUCAGAGCCUGCCGCGAGGUCGGCGCGGGUCCACUACGCAAAGAGCGCAAAGCUACCAGCGCUGCGCACCACGGCCGCAGCAAGGCGCCAGAAUGGCGUUUCCAGAUUCCCAGGAUUUGGGAACCGCGGGUUUGAGUUUCGAGUCGUCCGGCAGCCCCAGGGAAACGUCGUCGCGGCUUAUCGCGCCGACUUUGUGCAGCUUCGACCCGAGGAAAAAAAUCGCCUUUGCUGCUGAGGAGGCAGCUCCGCCGUGGUCUCCCUUGAGACAUCUUCCUCAGUGUUCAUUUCUCCAACUGUGUUUUCUCAUGUAUCACACAAGAAGCAUUGACAUUGAGUUCAUUGAAGAUAGAGAAAAUACAUGCAAGAAUAUUGAACACUCUCCUCAAACUCAGUACCUACUAUCUUCAAGAACGUGA
rnacentral:lncRNA from 1 species